AGAAAUAUUGAGUUUAUAUAUAUAUAUAUAUAAAGAUGCAACUCAUACUUUGUAGAAUAGAAUAAAGAUUUCCGUAUCCAAACUAAGGAGACAAAAAUAGCCGAAUAGUGGAAUUUUCGGAUAAUAAAUCAUCUUUUUAGCAGACUGAAUUAAUAUGAUUAUAUUUAAUCGGCUGAAAACAGAAAAGUAUUUAUUACAUUUAAAUAUGUUGUAUUUACGUUAUAAUCUAAGUAUUUAAACAUCGUUACGAAAUAUUAUGCGGAUAAAAAAAUAAAUGAAUAAUAAAACAUUCGUAUAUUAGGAUAUUCGGAUAAUGGGUACGGAUAUGGGAGUCUCUACUGUAUAUUUAUAUGUGAAUUAGAUCACUGGACGCAA